rnacentral:piRNA from 1 species
UAAACACCCCUAGGAGCCUCUGCAGUGCC